rnacentral:rRNA from 1 species
GGUACCGUCAUUUUCUUCCCUACUGAAAGCGGUUUACAACCCUAAGGCCUUCUUCCCGCACGCGGCGUUGCUGCAUCAGGCUUGCGCCCAUUGUGCAAGAUUCCCC